GUUAAGGUGGCAGAGCCCGGUAAUUGCAGAAGGUCUAAGCCCUUCCCACAGAGGUUCAAAUCCUCUCCUCAACU
rnacentral:tRNA from 1 species